UGUUCAUUGGAGACUCAGUUACUCUGACCUGUGAGGUUCAUCAGUCUACUGGAUGGGAGUUUAUCUUCAGAAACCCUUCAAACACUGAAUCCACUGAACUUACAGGAACUAAAACAAUCAGAUCUGUGCAAAUCUCUGAUGGAGGAGAGUAUUGGUGCAGAGCCAGAAGAAAAGAAAACCCUCAGGUUAACACACAAUACAGUCAACCAAUAACAGUGACAGUACAGGAAAGACCAACACCUCAAGUGUCUGUUUGGCCUGAUGAUCAUGUAUUCAGAGGAGAAACUGUCACUCUCACAUGUGUCAUUAAUGGAGGAGGAGUCAACAGCUGGGAGUACAGAUGGUAUAAAGAUUCAAUCAUCCAGCAGAAUAAACUCCAGUAUUAUAUAAUCAGAUCUGUUACUGAGUCUGACGCAGGUAAAUACACCUGUAGAGCAACAGAGAUCAGUGGAUCACGAUACUCACACAUCAGUAAUGCAGUUACACUGAGAGUAUCAGGAUCAAAACCAAAACCUAAACUCAGAUCAGAUACUGAAGGAUCUGUACUGACAGGUAACACAGUGACUCUGAAGUGUCACAUUUAUCAUUGGUCUACUGGAUGGAAGUUUCACUGGUACAAAAACA